UACGAAGGGGGCUAGCGUUGCUCGGAAUCACUGGGCGUAAAGGGUGCGUAGGCGGGUUUUUAAGUCAGAGGUGAAAUCCUGGAGCUCAACUCCAGAACUGCCUUUGAUACUGAGAAUCUUGAGUAUGGGAGAGGUGAGUGGAACUGCGAGUGUAGAGGUGAAAUUCGUAGAUAUUCGCAAGAACACCAGUGGCGAAGGCGGCUCACUGGCCCGGUACUGACGCUGAGGCACGAAAGCGUGGGGAGCAAACAGG
rnacentral:rRNA from 1 species